UACGUAGGGGGCAAGCGUUGUCCGGAAUCAUUGGGCGAAAGCGCGUGUAGGCGGCCCGAUAAGUCCGCUGUGAAAGUCCAGGGCUCAACCCUGGGAUGCCGGUGGAUACUGUCGGGCUCGAGUCCGGAAGAGGCGAGUGGAAUUCCUGGUGUAGGCGGUGAAAUGCGCAGAUAUCAGGAGGAACACCAAUGGCGAAGGCAGCUCGCUGGGACGUGACUGACGCUGAGACGCGAAAAGCGUGGGGAGCAAACAGG
rnacentral:rRNA from 1 species